rnacentral:rRNA from 1 species
UGGUGCCAAUAGCACAGUGGAACCACUCCGAUCCAUCUCGAACUCGGUUGUUAAACGCUGUAGCGGCAAUAAUACUUAAGGGGAAGCCCUUUGGAAAGUAGCUCAGUGCCAAGCUAUA